GAGUGGCCGAGCGGUCUAAGGCGCCAGACUUAAGAUCUGGUGAUUAAUAUCGCGUGGGUUCGAAU
rnacentral:tRNA from 14 species